UGAGUAUUUGGCCUGUAGAAAUUUCCCAGUAUCUUCGUCUGUUGACACAAAGCCCCUGUUUUACAUUCCCACUCUACCCCAUGUGUUUCCUCUCUCAAAAGCAGAGAAAACUGAACUAAAAGUUUGGAAAUCGUGUGCUCUGGAAGUGGAAUAAGUGGCGUCAAAGGAGUGAAGCUAUUUCCCAAAAUGUAGUUGUGUUUCUGCAUCGCAGCUGGAACUCGUGUCAUGGAAAGCUGGGCAGAUACUGAACACAAAAAGUUCUUCAGCCCGUGAUGCCCUCAGCAAUGUGAUGGAAUGGAUUUUUCUGUCAGCAGACAUUCAGACCAAGGAUGGAAGUUUUUCACACAGAGGGUGGUGAUGCACUGGAAGAGGCUGCCCAAGGAGGUUGUGGAUGCCCCAUCCCUGGAGGCAUUCGAGGCCAGGCUGGAUGUGGCUCUGGGCAGCCUGGUCUGGUGGUUGGCGACCCUGCACAUAGCAGGGGGUUGGAACUCGAUGAUCAUUGUGGUCCUUUUAAACCCAGGCCAUUCUAUGACUCUAUGAAACCUACCGUAUAGUAUUUGUAUCCAUUUCAAAGAAUUCUUCCACAGAGGAGAUGUGAACUCGUCGGUGCCACAUUUGGUGCUGAUGUGGAGUCUUAUGGGAUGCUGCUCUUAGAAGAAAGGGAACGAGAGUUUCUAUUCUGCUAUGGUUUUGGAAUCUGGGAGCUGAUGUGGGCCACCCUGUAACUUAAGGAACUGGAAAUCUAAACAAGAGUGGAAAUGCAAGCCAAGAUAUUUAGGUUUUUAAACAAGUGCUACUACUAUCUGCUACAAAUCUUUUAACACUGUCUUCAAAUUACUGCUUUAAAAAUAAUCCAGUCAAGAGACAGUGCCUGUUGUGUUACAGAAAUGGAGCUGGAAUAAACUGUCCUUAAGACUAAACAUCUAUCCAGCUCACAUUGCUCUUCUUUUUACCUAGUACUGCUCAUAUGUUAAAUAAUACUUCUCAUAAGAUCAGACUAUGCUUGGCUUUUCAGCACAGUUAGUUGGGUUUGUUUGUUUUCACAGGCAGCGGCGUGAAUCCUCAAUUACAUCAUUUUCAAUUAUGUGAGUGUCAACGAGAACAGAAUCCCUUUGAUUUUGUUUUGUUGUAUUGUAUUGACUCACUGCUCCGAUCAGUCGGUAAUGCGUGUGAACACACCUAUACGUUGCUCAAUGCCUAUUACAUCAUGCACAUGAAGAGCCCCUUGGCUAUGCCAAACACAGAAAGAAAGCUGAGUGAUGCCCUAUCAGCACAUAGCAGCCCUACCAGCAUAAUUAAAGCCGUUUUAAACCUUUUUAUUUAGGUCUGUGAAAACCACUAUGGG
rnacentral:lncRNA from 1 species